rnacentral:rRNA from 1 species
UACGUAGGCAGCAAGCGUUGUUCGGAGUUACUGGGCGUAAAGAGUCUGUAGGCGGUGCUCUAAGUUUGGUGUGAAAUCUCCCGGCUUAACCGGGAGGGUGCGCCGAAGACUGGGGUGCUGGGAGUACGGGAGAGGAAAGCGGAAUUCCUGGUGUAGCGGUGAAAUGCGUAGAUAUCAGGAGGAACACCGGUGGUGUAGACGGCUUUCUGGACCGUGACUGACGCUGAGAGACGAAAGCGUGGGGAGCAAACAGG